rnacentral:piRNA from 1 species
AUAGGAAGCAUGAUCAGGGAAGAAGAGGU